AAACACAUAUAUACUAUUAAGUUACUAUUUGCACCUACAUCUAUCUUCCUUUUUUCUUUUCCCCUGCAGGAAAAGCUUCAAAAGGGAGAGUGUCAGGGGCCAGGAGGGGUGUGGAGCUGGAGGACAGCAGGCAGGGGACCAAUGUUGGAUUGUUCCGGAGCCAUGUGAAGUACGUCUAAGCCCCCUGCUUCUUCUCGCAAAGAAGAUUUGUAGCAAUCAUCGCCGAAGACAUGUGCUGCACGGACAUACUACAACCUUAUCACAACCCCUGCAAUGUUUCCUGUCUGUACAUCUUAUCUGCAUUGCUCAGGGAGGCAGGCUGCUCUUAUAAAUCAAGGUAAAAAAGCAAACACAUCAAAACGUCAAAGCCUUCCGGUGUUUUCUUUGGAGGUGUUUGUGUUCUUGUGAUUUUUCAACAGAGAGGCUAGAGAGGAUUCACAUCUAUAUUUAGAUCUCCAGGAUGCUCUUAUAAAUGUUCUGCACAAUUUUCCACUAGACCUUUAUGGUGGAAUAAAGAGGUGUCCAGAAUAGAUUGUGACAUCAGGGAAACAUAACUGUCAGAACAGAGGCAGACUGAUCCAUGACAAUGUGAA
rnacentral:lncRNA from 1 species